AAGUCGUAACAAGGUUUCCGUAGGUGAACCUGCGGAAGGAUCAUUACCAAAUCCAAAUACCCAACCCCAUGUGAACUAUUGUUUGUUGUCCUUGGGGGGAAGGAAGUAUAAUUGCAUUAAUUUGCUUUACGCGGACUUCCCCCCAAAAGAAUCCGGCACUUCGGUGUUUGUGAUUCUUGAUAAACUACAUUUUUUUUUAUUGGAAUGACUUUUAUUUAAUUAAUAAAAGACAACUUUUAACGGUGGAUCUCUUGGCUCGUG
rnacentral:misc_RNA from 1 species